GUUUAUCUCAGCUUCUCAUGGAGUGGAACUACAAUUCAGACAGAAAAUAUCUAUUGUGUAUAUAGUUGCAGAAUAUUUGGAAGCUAAAAACAAAUCAAUAAAGCAUUAGAUUCAUGGUAAGGAAAUGGAGAGAGGGAAUUUAAUAUUUUCUCUAUGACAUGGAUGUCAUGCAAGCAACCCUUUCUCUAGCCUAGACUUAGUUCUGACAAUAUUAAACAUGAGUUAGACAUGUCGUCGUGCUUCAACAUCUUAGCAGUGCAGAAAACCUUCUAUUCUAGAAUGGCAAACUGUGCAAUAUAAGGAAAUUGGGCAUGAGCAGAUCAAGGGCUAAAAUAAUUAUUGUUUCGAAAAGCUAACCAGACUGGAAAAAGAAUCCAGGCAAAAUUUAGGAUGACCAAACCACUCAAAGGCCUUCCUAACUAAGAUGAAUAUACACUCAGGAGAAGAAAUCAUACUAAGUCGUCGGAUACAUAAGUAGUUUAAUGGCUAAAAUGAAGGAAAUGUGUAAUGUCAUGGCACUUUUAGUUAUUCAUGUGCAUAUCCAACAGUAAGCAUGAUAUCAUGAAAGAAGCAAAGAUCCAAAGUUAUCAGUUGAUACAAAAUGUGUUGAAUGUAUAGUGCAUGAUGCACCUUAUUAGAGGAAAAACAACUACAUAAAAUACCGAUAAAUUUAAGAAGAAAGAUGACACUAAGAUCUGUAGAAAGAUCUUACCAGUGCUUGGAAAGGAGUCAAUUGUAGUAGCGGUUGCGUAAGAUACGAUGGACCGAUCUCUUCGGAAGCUUUCUUGCCUAUUCACACUUAUUGAGUUUAGCAUACAACACAUCAGGAUUUAACACUUUGGUUGGUUGUAGCCGAUUUUCCAUGUGAUGUUUUACCAAAAUGUUGAAGCUCAGCAAAGUUGGUUCCUGGAUCAGUGUAAAAUAAUUAUGUGGCCGUCAAGUCUCUAUCCCAUAUUAUUUACAAUCUCAAACGACGGAAGCUUGCUUUCUGCAGUUCACCAAAGGUCUUAAUUUACCUUUUAUUCAAGGAUCUGUUGUGUGCUGAUCUCUACAAAUCUUAUGGUUGACAUUAACAUAAUUGCAGAAAGCAACAUCGACUUAAUUUUUACU
rnacentral:lncRNA from 1 species